rnacentral:lncRNA from 1 species
GUGCCCCUGUCAUCUUAGGUAGGCAGCUGCCCUUCAAUGAGGCCAUUCUUUGUGCCUGCCUGCCUGCCUGCCAUUUUCUCUUAGUUCCCUGGGUGAUCUCAGUUUCUUUGAACUCUGGCUUUUUUUCUUUUCUUUUUCUUUCUUUUUCUUUCUCUCUCUCUUUUUUUAUUGGUAGCAGUUCUGUCAAAUGUUCAGCUUUUUACAAUAAAGAUAUCCAACUAGAAAUGCAGACACAGUACUGACCUAAAGAAGACUGAGGCUACCUCUGUGUAUAUUGUUUGUAAACACUGCAGGGAGCACACAGAAAAGUGUGUGAAAAUACUUUAUAACUAUUUUUCUAAGUGCCUAUUAGGAUUCUCCAGUAGAGUGUAUUUUCAGAUUUUUACCACAAGGGGGUGAUGUUAUUUUUAUAGUGAUAACAUUUUUAUUUGAAAAGUAUACUUCAUAUAGCUUUACUGAACAACAUCUAUGAACACUACUGUCAAGCGCUGCAGGGGUGGGUGUUUGUAUGUGCACGUGAAUCAGAAAGUCAUCCAUCCAUGAGGAAAAUUCUGAGGAAAUUCACAUAAAACAUGUUUCUACACAGUAGAUGGAGAACAUGAACCAAAUUCACAACUAAAAUUGUGUUUUUAGAGUUUUGUGUAUUACAUCGAAUUCUCUUUUCAGCAUGUUUAAAAAUAAGGGCAUUGACUUAUUGUCUGCAUUUACUCUUUCAUGGGAAACUUUUGAAAUAAGCUCAAGUGUAAAGAGAGGGUAUUAACAACCUUACCAAAGAAACCUGCCCCCUUUAAGGGUAGGUUGCUCCCAUGAUGCUGUUGUCUUGCAGUCUUUUGCAUUUUCCAGUAGAAUUCUGUCUGACGAGGCAGUGGUCACACUCAGGAGUGUGCUUUGACAUGUAACUGAUUCUCAUGAUCCUCACACCCCACUGUAGGUUUACUGGUUUGUCUCAACAAUGUCUUACUCUGGGAUCCAGAGGAAAAUCCCACAGCUGCAAGUUGUCUGCAGUUCAUUUGCUUGGGCAUCUGCAGCCUCUGGCUUUCCCAACCCUCCAUACUGUGUGCAUUAUAGGCUCGCUAUAUGUCCCUGAGUUUGGAUUCCUGUUUGUUUGCGGCUAGAUCGCAGUCGUACUUCUCAGUGUUCCCUCUUAUAUUCAUACAGCUCUACCUCACUCACUUCUGAAGUGCUCGUUUAGAUGCUUGUUAAGGGGACAAACCUCUCCACUGUGUAAAGCUACCAUCUUCCCCUUUAAAAGUAUAUUGUAGGAAGUUGCUAUGUGUGUGUCUUAGACCUAAUUGUAAUUUCAAUCUGUUACCAAUUUUCUAUUCAAGGUUAGUGAGCAUUGUCUCUGGUUUGAUCAGUGGAAGCCCUUUUCAGAUUGGCUCUUUUGGCAGUCCCAUCAUUUUAAAAGCACUGUCUUUGCACUCCGCACAACAGAAUUUUCCAAAUUCAUUUUGUACCUAUCCACCCUAGCUUUCCCAUCCAAGUACUUACAAACCAGGCCCAAACACGCUUCACUGCCAAGGUGAGAUGUGAUUGAGCAUCUUCAGGGUGGUAUGGCUGUAGACUUGCUGUAGCUCUUAAAUCAGUAUCCUACGUUUUAGUGGAAACUGAUACUUGGAAGCCAGGGUUUGUGCGUUGGUUAUACUUAUAAUGGAGAUGCUGCUGCAUCUUCUAGUAUUUGGUGCUUGGGAAUAUAUAUAUAUAAUCUUGUGUGCCCCUCCUCCUUUGUCUUACACAGCCCCUGUGAGCUUCAAUGCCCCUUACUUGCGUCCCUGUUCCUAUGCAGAGGAGGGCAUCCUCAUCCUACUUAGCUACUGAGUAUUGCCUUUAGAUCCAAAAUGGAGGAACAAGAAUGACCAUUUUAGGAAUUAUGUGAAUUGAAUGUUGUUCGUGCAUGCCUUUAAUCCCAGCACUCGGGAGGCAGAGACUGGUGGAUUUCUGAGUUCAAAGCCAGCCUGGUCUAAGUAGUGAGUUCUAGGACAGCCAGAGAAACUCUGUCUCCAUACAAACAAACAAACAAACAAAGGAAACCACGUUAAGAUUUUUAAAUUCUAAAUAAGUUACUUGUAACUUUAACACUCAAACAACUACAUGGGGAGAGGGUGCAGUAUAGUGAGGGAAACAGCAAACCUGAAAUGCACGUAAAAUGUUAUGUACACCAAAGGGGUUCAAACUUGAAACGCAUAGCAUGUUUACAUCUCUUUACUACUGUAAUUGCGUUUUUAAUGAUAGAUUACAUCAUAGGAACUGUGAAUGAAAAUUUAGCUGUUAAAUACUGGAUAAGAUUUUUGCUAAUAAAUUUCAAAGGAAAAAUGAUUAUAGAAUUGUUGUUUUUGUAGGCCCUUAAAAAGUACGUGUUCAGAUGAACUUCAUGUGAGACAGGAGUCUAUCAGUGCUGGAUCUCACAUGUACUGAGGUCAAGUUCAUGUUAAGUGAUAAGCUGGAGCACAAAGAGCAACCAAGUUCUAUUUCUGAUGAGACCAGCAUUUUAAGUACUUGGUUGUGUUGCCCAUAGAGAGAGUUAGCUGAGGUACUCGUGUAUAACCUGGGCUUUUAAAAUACAAGCAGCACUUUACAAAUGGAGGCAGGGGAAGGAGCAGAGUGGCUGCUUAGAUGUGUAAAAUCUGAACCACUGCUGUGUUUACCAAAUGGAAAGACACCUUGAGCAUAGAGUUCAGUGCACCUGGGUGUGGCUUUAAGGCAAAACUGGAAUGGUUUGGGUUAGCUUAUUAAGUCUUCAGUAAUGGGUCAGUUGACUUAGUAUAUGGACAACAAGAAAUCAUUAAAGAUAAAGCAGAAGUCUUGGUUUUGAACAACGCAAUAUAAACUAAAUGCAGGGAAAGAGAGAAGAGCAGAAGCCAGGCUCCUACAUGAAUGUUGUGAAGACCUGAGCUUGGGCUGUGAUACAGGAGUGAAGGGGUCUGGGGUUCAGAAGCCAGUAAAAAACAGACUCAGUCGGACCUGUGUAUUGUCCCGGAUGUGGGAAAUGUAUCAGAAAGGACAUCAGAAGUGAUGCCUGCGUCACUAUCUUGAUAAACACCAAACUCUCGGCUCGUUUAUGGAUGUUAGGAAACACAGGCUUAGGAGGUUCAGAUUUUGUGAAGAAUUUAAACUUUAUAAUUUUCACUUUUCAGAACAGCAAAGUUCAAAACAAUUUGUAGCUUUGAUGAGGGAACAAAUUUCAAAAUGUCAUUGUAAGUGUGCUUGAGAUUUCUUGUACUUAAAAAGGAAAAUAAGUGGCCUAGUAUUUUCAUAUUUCACUGCUGGCUGUUGUAGGGACUGAUGGGUAUAUCAUUGUGUUGCAGUAAUUGCACAUACCCUUGGCACGUUUGACAUCCUGAUUCCUAGUGCUAAGCCCAAAUCUUCCACUUUCCCCAAGGUCUCACGUAGUCCGUUCUGGAAGACACUCCAGAUGUGCAACACAACCCUGACCCACUGUUCUCUAGUUAUAAUCCCAAUGGUUGCAUCUGAGUGAGGUCGGCAAGAUGAGUCCUAGGAACCAUUACAUGGAAAGUGUAAUUACACAACUCCUCAUCCCGGUGUUUCCAGACAGUAUUGUGAUAUGUUUCCAGAAGGCGCAUUUUGUGAUUUGCAAAUUUGACAUACUGAGUUAUUUCUGUUGGACUGCUAGUUAUCCAUACAAUGCAGACACAUUCUAAUCUGCUCUGAGAAUUUUAUUAACACAAUGAAAUGAAAUAGGUUUCAUUCAGAUUUCCAAAAGCUUGAACCAAAAGCUCAUUAGCAGAAUAGAGAUUAUUAUAAUAAUUUAUAUAAGUUUAAUAAUUUAAUAAUUCUAAAUACCUUAUUAACAUGAGAUUUAAUUUAGUAAGUAACUUAGUGCAUAUAACUUUCACUAGUGAUCUGAAGACAUUCCAAUUUCAUUUUCAUGAAGGAUACUGUAAAGCACUAAAAGUCAAAUGUAACAACUAAAUGUUUGUUCAAGUGCACAUGGAAACUAACAGAAAUUACAUGUGCUAAAUAAACCAUGACCCAAUGUUUCAAAAUUUUGAAAGUGUGCUUUGUGACUACAGUAGCACUAAAUGGGAUAUUUACAAAAAAUAAUGUAUGCUUUUGAGAAAUAAAAAUGAAGUUCUGUCUGAUCCAAGGGUCAAGAAGGUUACAAUGAAAGAAAACGUCUUAACUAGAUGUUAGACAUUCAUCUUAUCUAACUGAGGGAUGUAUGUAGGUAGACUCAGCUGGUACAGAGACUUGCCACCGAGCCUGAGCCAUGGGGUCAGUCCUGAGUCCCCAUGUGCUGUAGGGAGAAAAUGGUGACCUCCACAUGUGUACAGUGGCAUGUGUCCCCAUACACACGCAUAUGCACACCUACAGCUGAAUUUUCUAACGAAAAUUUAAUAAACCUUAUUGUAAGAAACUUGCAAGUAAGAACCAUUGCAUACCAAAAUUAACCAGACUCAAAGUCCAUGCAUCUCAAAGACAAUAGCUAGCCUGGGUUAAAUGUGAGACACUAUCU